UUGGAGAAGAGAAAGAGAAGAAAUCCCAUUCUCCAGGCAAAAGGCCAAAAGGACAAUUAUUGGGUGAUAUUUCUGUAAGUCACAAGGAAAACAGGACAAAAUGAAGUUGAUGAAAAUUCCUCGUUUCCCCACCAAGUGCCCUUACCUGCAUGCUCGUGAUUCCCACAGCUCUUGCCCAGGAGAUCCUAUGUUCACCCAGCCUCUUGUGUUGAGGGUGUUGUCUUGGUACAUAGAAACAGGUAUUUGACCCACCUCUGCUAAAGCCAAUCUCACUUCCCAGCUUUGUGCUUGCAUCAGUUUUAUGGAGCAUCUGAGGCUGGGUGCCUUGAGUGGCUUCUGCAGAUUGAAUUUACUGAAAGUGCCUCACGUUGUACCCCGGCUCGAGCACCCAGUCUACGGUCCUUGGAGGGGCUGCCUGCUGGAGAAGAGAGGUCUGGAAAUACAAGUGAAUGAAACAAAGAAAGAGCAGUGGGAAAACAGAAGAACAUGAAAGUUGUGACAGAGUCUUCAGCUUUCAGAGGGCUCUUAUUUACUCCUUUAUAUGCUUUACUGGAAAGAUGAGUAGCUUGCGGUUUCCAG